rnacentral:rRNA from 1 species
AGUGAACGCUGGCGGUAGGCCUAACACAUGCAAGUCGAACGGCAGCACAGUAAGAGCUUGCUCUUACGGGUGGCGAGUGGCGGACGGGUGAGGAAUACAUCGGAAUCUACUUUUUCGUGGGGGAUAACGUAGGGAAACUUACGCUAAUACCGCAUACGACCUACGGGUGAAAGCAGGGGAUCUUCGGACCUUGCGCGAUUGAAUGAGCCGAUGUCGGAUUAGCUAGUUGGCGGGGUAAAGGCCCACCAAGGCGACGAUCCGUAGCUGGUCUGAGAGGAUGAUCAGCCACACUGGAACUGAGACACGGUCCAGACUCCUACGGGAGGCAGCAGUGGGGAAUAUUGGACAAUGGGCGCAAGCCUGAUCCAGCCAUACUGCGUGGGUGAAGAAGGCCUUCGGGUUGUAAAGCCCUUUUGUUGGGAAAGAAAAGCAGCAGGUUAAUACCCCGCUGUUCUGACGGUACCCAAAGAAUAAACACCGGCUAACUUCGU